ACAUGCCUACAACAUAGCGUUAAUGUACUAGAACCCAUAAGAACUUCACAAUUAAGCACACUCGGGCUAGAGUAGUAAUGGGAUGGGUGACUACACGAGAAGUCCUAGUGUUUUACAUGCU
rnacentral:rRNA from 1 species